UUUAAUAAGAAUCACACAGGUAACCGCAUUGGUUUUAAAUGGGAACCCCGUAUAAGCGGGGGCGGACCCGCCGCUGUAAUCCUGACCUCACAGAUUGAGGUAAGACCUUUAUCAAAAAAGCCACUGCCAAUUUUUAAAUUGGCGGGAAGGCAGUAAAGGUUUGGGAGAGCCAGAAGACCUGCCUGUGUAUUCCUUCCGCA
rnacentral:ncRNA from 2 species